AUAUUAUUAUUAUAAUAUAUAAUUAAUUAAUUACUUAAUUAUAUAUAUAUAAUAAUAUAUUAUAGUUCCAAGUAAGAAAACCGAAGAUAAUACCGGUAAACGUAUCGUUAAAUAGGAAUUUAUUUUCAUUUUUUAACGAGUUGAAAAUAAUCUAGUAGCAUUUGUUGAACCUUUUCCUUUCAUUUACCGUUUUGUAUUCGAUCUACGCUCAUCUUUGUCAUAAGCCAUAAAUGCAUAAAAUCUGCCAUCUAGCGACAAGCCUUAGGAAACCGAGCCACCGGCAUUUUAAACAAGCGACAAAAUUUGUAUUUGACCCCGAAACGCGGUAACGCAUAUUUUUCGACCGAAGUCGUACAUUUAUCUUCCAUUUUCUUCUCUAUAUUCAGUUAAGGAGUCUUCUUAGUUUAACGUUACGGUUGUAAGACAAAUCUUUGAUUUUUUUUUCAAAGAAAAUCAUUAAGUAUUAUAACUUCAAAUUUAACGUCUUCGUUGACUAAUAUUCGAAAAAUAUAUUCGAAGAUAUUCUUGAACAAUAACAAUUAAAAUUUAACCUUAUUGUUUUGGCAAAUAUGAUUCCGAUUUUUAUAGUUGUCUGACAAAGAAUGCAAAGCAUUUCUUACAAUGCGUGUGUUUAGCUGUCGCCACAAACUAGAACGAAUAAGAAGUAUUGAAAAGCAAAAAAAUGGUGGUGGAAAUUCGAAUUUCCAGUUGCCAAGUGGGAAAAAUUAUCUUUAAUUUCUCAACUUGCGGUUAUGAUAGCUUGAAAAUAUUAAACGACGCGUAAAGACUAUGUUGUUGUCCAGCUAUGAAAAUGGAUUCUUCAGCGAAUUCUAUAAAAAAAAUAUACAAACAGAAUAUAUUGCAUAAAGAUACAUACAUAUGUGUCGUGAACGGACAGUUCUGUUUUUUCCAUCAGUUCGCUUCUCUUCCCUGCAACCAUAAAUAUCUUUCCUCCUCCUGUUUUUCUUUCUAGUUACUGUUUUUCACGUAUUCUCCCCGUCCAAAUUAUACACAAUUUAUAGGUUCCAAUAAAUCGUCAUAAAUCGUUAAUUACCCGAGAACUGUGAAGGAAUACUGCUGGAAAUGUCAACGAAAACUUUCACCCCCACCAUUUGACUGCGCAUCCGAUUGCGCAUGGAAUAACCGGCCAAUCAGAACAAAGCAGUUUCUCACCUUGUCGCUUGACUACUUAGCAUGGUUAUAAUACGUAUCGUUAAAAACAUUCAAACUAUCAUAAUCUCAUAAGUUGUAUCUUGUUGCUCGUAAGUAUCUUGAGAAAAGCGUAUUUGAAAUGUCGGACACUGUUUUAACAUGAAGUUGUAAGAAAAUGCAAAAGAAACGAAACGAUUCUUCGAAUCGUCGAACUAGGGAGACUUCUUAAAAGUAAGCCACAAGCGGUACUUGUAUAUGCAACUGUUUAUGUAUACCAUUUUUUUAUAAAGUUUCGUGUACGAUUACAAUUGAGAAAACAUGUUUUAAGUAUUUUACAUCGCACAAGGCGUUUACCAGGAUAAUUCGAUAUUCAUUGGAAUUGGUAUGAAUUAUAAAUAGCCUGCGAAUAUUUACACGAACUUACAUUUUUCUAGACUAAUUUACAAAAGUAAGAAAACUUUUCGUUAACCCCCGCUUUCCUUGUGAGAUUUAUCAUUUCGAGAGUGCGGUUUUGAUUACGUUACAUUGUAUUACAUUAUAAGGUGAAACAAAUAAACGAAUAUAUGCAAUACAGAUGAACGAGAAUUGAACACGGCAAAGCGAACAAUUAAUUUCAAAAAUUUGUUUCACUACAAAUCAAAUAUACUGUUUCACUAAUUUAAUCUUAAUCUUAAUUCUUGUCUUACUUUAAACAACGUAAAAUCUGUUUUUGGUUCGAGUUUCUAGUAUUCAGCAUUUUCCAAGAAAAUUGAAAACAUUAAUUUACGUUAUUGUUUUUGUAGUUAAUUUUAGAGACGGUAUUUUUCAGCUAAGAUAUUUGUACAUUUAAACAAUAAAAUUAAAUAAAUGCGUCUGAAUAUUUCACGAUUGAAGCAUAGUUGCAUUUAGUAUUUUUGCUGUCUAAAUAAUUUAUCCUUGAUUUCAGAAAAACUAUUAAUUGUAUCGACAUUAACAUUUGUUAUUUACGAAAGAGUUUUUGAUUUCGUUUGAAAUAAAUUAGUCUAAAAAAAUGCGGGCAACAUGUGAUGUUCAUUAAUUAUAUUUAAGAUCCAUGAACGGAGGAUAUAGUUUGAAGUUAUUCGAAUAAAGGACGACUUCGUAAAUGUAAACAAAACGUGAUCUCCACCUUGUGCUACGUUCAACGAGAACAACGGCACAAAAUGUAAACAGAACGUUCACACGGUCGGUGCUUCGGUUGCAGCUGAGUGGCUGUUAGACGACGAUGCUCAGGGACGAAUUUUGGUGGACCCUCGUCGAUGGCCCGUGCAUGCAGAGUAGCCUCGUGUAGAAGAGCCUGAAAAUUGUGAUUCAGCGGCCCUGGCCCGAUCACGUGAGAAAUACAAAAAACAAUACGACUUAUAGGAUGACUUGAUGUUGCUAAAAUUUCAAAACAUGUCAUCUUUUUGGCUAUCAGUAUACUGAAUAUCGAAGAAGAAUAUUUUCUUGGAUAAAACGUAAGCUCUAAAGCAGCAAGGAACCGCGAAGAGUUGGAUAUACCAAAUUUGACACAGAAUGACCCAAUAAGUGCUGUAUCGAAAGAAGACAAAAUUGAUAUAAAUACGUUUGUUUUUCUAUGCGCACGUAUGCAAGCGUGAUUGCCAGGGUUUUUCACACGGCGACAUCAGGCACAACAAGAAGUAAAACGAGGCGAAACGACGACGGAAAGGAAAGCAUACGGAAACGAUAUACAAAUUCCUCGACAUAGUACAAAGCAUAUAAACUUCUCAUUUUUUCAAUAGCCUAGAGGGGAAGUAUAGUAAGUACGCAUAAAAGGAUAAGUCAUUACGCGUAUUAAAUAGACGUCUACCGAAUAGCCGGAGAGUCUGCGACGCAACGGGAAAGUCCUUUCUAUACCGGGAACAUCCGGACAAAACGAGAUCACGAUUGGAAUCGAUCCUCGAUCUUAUGAUUUUAACGAUCGCUUAGUAUCAAAGGAGAUCAGAGUGAUUCGGCUGCGAACGCUUAAUAUUUCCGAUGGCGCACAGUGGUCGAAACUUGUAAACAACGUAAACUAGAUAGAAAUAAUAAGCGUAGUUGAAACAUGAAUAUUGCAACAGUGCAGUAUCUUAUUUAGCUUGAAAAGUAACUUUAUUUGUAAAUAAAAAUGAUUUCUCUGUGGAUUAUUUGAUUACUCGGCUAUUAAAUGAAAUAAUUUCUUAACUCGUUUUUGACUUUGUAUAUCAAUUAAUUUUAACUGAAAUCAUUUUUCAUAUAUUCUCUAAUCGCAAUUUUUCUUACAUAUGUUAUACCGACACUAUUUACUGCUGCAAAGAUUUUUCGGUUCCCAAAUUAUGGGCAUAAGCAAUUUCCAGGGCAAAUGGUUGCAUUAUGAAAAUUCACGAAUUUUAAGUUCAAGAAUAUAAGUAACGAAAUAACAGAUAAUCUCUGCUCGAGCCUAAUUUAGAAGCUGUUUCUUUUUGUUAUCUACACUAUCGAUUAGAAUUUUCAAUAGAAAAGGUGAUCGUUUUUGAAACAUUUUUCCAGCAUCUCUUGCGGUCCGAAAGAGAUCUACGGCUAUAAUUUCAUUGGACUUUCAGUGAGGUCGAUUUGAUCUUCGUUUGCGUUGUUUACAGUUACGAACCACUGCGCAACUAUACUUGAAGUAUACUCGCGUCAAGAAGUGCAUACUUUUGAUUUCAUCAUCUUCCUGCAAAUAUAAGUUAUAGGAUAACAAAUACAUAUUUAUUGAACAAUUAAACGCAAUACUACCUGACAA